AUUCGGAUGGUCCAGUUAAAUGA
rnacentral:siRNA from 1 species